rnacentral:lncRNA from 7 species
UAUUCCAUGUCCUAACCUGUAACCUAGCAGGGCACAGCAGCUCUGCACCAGCUCGCAGGAAAGGCAGCUUAGCUGAAGACUCCUUUUCAGGUAUGGGAUAUAUGCCAAAGCAUUUUCUGCAUCCACACAGCACCUCAUCUGUUUUUUCAUCAGAACGAAGAAUACCAAAAUAAUACAAGUCAAGCUGCAGAGGAGCCAUCACAUCUUCUACAGAACCCUGUGGCAGCAGAGCCUCCUUACACCACAGCUCUGCACCAGCUGCCUCCGCAGGGCACAGGGUAGGGUUAACACACACGUUCUGCUGUACAGAAGAUGCAGAAACAAAAGGUUUGUGUCGAGCAGCGGCCAACCUGGAGGCGUGCAGUGCAAUGCAAUGCAAGAGUGAAAGGCUGUGGGUUAAGCGUCCAAACCCAACAACAUAGGAAUACCGCUAAAGAUGUCGCAAAACGAGCUGAAUAAAUUAAAAACACUUGAAGGCGUGGUGCAAAACGU